rnacentral:rRNA from 1 species
ACCACAACAGGUGGAGCCUGCGGUUUAAUCGGAACGUUCAAACGCCGGGAAACUCACCAGAUAAGACAGCUGAAUGAUAGUCGGGCUGAAGACUCUACUUGACUAGCUGAGAGGAGGUGCAUGGCCGUCGUCAGUUCGUACUGUGAAGCAUCCUGUUAAGUCAGGCACGAGCGAGACCCACGCCAACAGUUGCCAGCUCGUCCUCCGGGAUGGUGGGGACACUGUUGGGACCGCCUCUGCUAAAGAGGAGGAAGGAAUGGGCAACGGUAGGUCAGCAUGCCCCGAAUUAUCUGGGCUACACGCGGGCUACAAUGGGUGGGACAAUGGGUAUCGACACCGAAAGGUGAAGGCAAUCUCCUAAACCCAUCCGUAGUUCGGAUUGUGGGCUGCAACUCGCCCACAUGAAGCUGGAAUCUGUAGUAAUCGUGUCUCAAAAUGGCACGGUGAAUAUGUCCCUGCUCCUU